rnacentral:rRNA from 1 species
AUUGAACGCUGGCGGCAUGCUUUACACAUGCAAGUCGAACGGUAACAGGCCGCAAGGUGCUGACGAGUGGCGAACGGGUGCGUAAUGCAUCGGAACGUGCCCAGUCGUGGGGGAUAACUACUCGCAAGAGUAGCUAAUACCGCAUACGAUCUAUGGAUGAAAGCGGGGGACCGUAAGGCCUCGCGCGAUUGGAGCGGCCGAUGUCAGAUUAGGUAGUUGGUGGGGUAAAGGCUCACCAAGCCAACGAUCUGUAGCUGGUCUGAGGGGACGACCAGCCACACUGGGACUGAGACACGGCCCAGACUCCUACGGGAGGCAGCAGUGGGGAAUUUUGGACAAUGGGCGCAAGCCUGAUCCAGCAAUGCCGCGUGCAGGAAGAAGGCCUUCGGGUUGUAAACUGCUUUUGUACGGAACGAAACGGCUCUGGUUAAUACCCGGGGCUAAUGACGGUACCGUAAGAAUAAGCACCGGCUAACUACGUG